UUUUUGUUGGCAGAAUUUAUAAUGCGUUAAGUUUAGGACUUAAAAAUGUUUUAUAACA
rnacentral:tRNA from 1 species